UACGUAGGGUGCGAGCGUUAAUCGGAAUUACUGGGCGUAAAGCGUGCGCAGGCGGUUUUGUAAGCCAGGUGUGAAAUCCCCGGGCUCAACCUGGGAAUGGCAUUUGGGACUGCAAGGCUGGAGUGCGGCAGAGGAGACUGGAAUUCCUGGUGUAGCAGUGAAAUGCGUAGAUAUCAGGAGGAAUACCGAUGGCGAAGGCAGGUCUCUGGGCUGACACUGACGCUCAUGCACGAAAGCGUGGGGAGCGAAACAAGGAUUGA
rnacentral:rRNA from 1 species